rnacentral:rRNA from 1 species
UGGGGAAUCUUCCGCAAUGGACGAAAGUCUGACGGAGCAACGCCGCGUGAGUGAAGACGGCCUUCGGGUUGUAAAGCUCUUUUAUUCGGGAAGAACGAUUCGUUUGUUAACAAUGAACGGAAGUGACGGUACCGAAAGAGAAAGCCACGGCUAACUACGUGCCAGCAGCCGCGGUAAUACGUAGGUGGCAAUCGUUCUCCGGAAUUAUUGGGGGUAAAGAGCGCGUAGGCGGUAAGGUAAGUCUGUCUUAGAAGUGCGGGGCUUAACCGCGGGAGGGGACAGAGACUGUCAUACUGGAGUCUCGGAGAGGAAAGCGGAAUUCCUAGUGUGGCGGUGAAAUGCGUAGAGAGUAGGAAGAACACCGGUGGCGAAGGCGGCUUUCUGGACGAGCACUGACGCAGAGGCGCGAAAGCGUGGGGAGCGAACAGG